GGGGUGGUGGAAUUCCCGGUGUAGAGGUGAAAUUSGUAGAUAUSGGGAGGAAUACCGGUGGCGAAGGCGACCACCUGGCCAGAUACKGACGCUGAGGUGSGAAAGCGUGGGAGCAAACAGGAUUAGAUACCCUGGUAGUCCACGCCGUAAACGAUGAGAACUARGUGUKGGGAUGGUUAAUSGUCUCAUUSCSGCAGCUAACGCAUUAAUUCUCCGCSGGGGAGACGGUCGCAAGAUUAAAACUCAAAGGAAUUGACGG
rnacentral:rRNA from 1 species